CCUACGGGUGGCUGCAGUGGGGAAUAUUGGACAAUGGGCGAAAGCCUGAUCCAGCCAUGCCGCGUGUGUGAAGAAGGCCUUCGGGUUGUAAAGCACUUUCAGUGGGGAAGAAAGCCUUGGGGCUAAUACCCUCGAGGAAGGACAUCACCCACAGAAGAAGCACCGGCUAACUCCGUGCCAGCAGCCGCGGUAAUACGGAGGGUGCGAGCGUUAAUCGGAAUUACUGGGCGUAAAGCGCGCGUAGGCGGUCUGAUAAGCCGGUUGUGAAAGCCCCGGGCUCAACCUGGGAACGGCAUCCGGAACUGUCGGGGUGGAGUGCAGGGGAGGAAGGAAGAAUUCCCGGUGUAGCGGUGAUAGGCGGAGAGAGCGGGAGGAAUACCAGUGGCGAAGGCGGCCUGCAGGACUGACACUGACGCUGAGGUGCGAAAGCGCGGGUAGCAAACCGGAUCAGAUACCCCGGUAGGG
rnacentral:rRNA from 1 species